rnacentral:rRNA from 1 species
UACGGGGGGAGCAAGCGUUGUUCGGAUUUACUGGGCGUAAAGGGCGCGUAGGCGGCCAGCACAAGUCAGUUGUGAAAUCUCCGAGCUUAACUCGGAAAGGUCAACUGAUACUGUGCGGCUAGAGUGCGGAAGGGGCAACUGGAAUUCUUGGUGUAGCGGUGAAAUGCGUAGAUAUCAAGAGGAACACCUGCGGCGAAGGCGGGUUGCUGGGCCGACACGUGACGCUGAGGCGCGAAAGCCAGGGAGCGAACGGG